rnacentral:lncRNA from 1 species
CAAUGGGAAGCAAGGCUGUAAGGCAGAGCGAAUCCGGAAAGAUUGCCUCAGUUCGGAUUGUUCUCUGCAACUCGGGAACAUGAAGUUGGAAUCGCUAGUAAUCGCGGAUCAGCAUGCCGCGGUGAAUAUGUACCCGGGCCCUAUACACACCGCCCGUCACACCUUGGGAAUUGGUUUCGCCCGAAGCAUCGGAUCAAUGAUCACCCAUGACUUCUGUGGCACACUAGUGCCACAAAGGCCUUUGGUGGUCCUAUUGGCGCAUACCACGGUGGGGCCUUCGACUGGGGUGAAGUCGUAACAAGGUAGCCGUAGGGGAACCUGUGGCUGGAUUGAAUCUUUCGCGAUAGAAAUGCACUCUUCCCCCAACUUUCCAACAUAGGGGGCUAGCUUGCUUCCACUGGUGGCGGGCGGGCGAAAGGUCCAAAGGACACGUAGCUGGGGGCGAGUCAAAAAUAGAAUUGUUCCAUUUUUCUGCUUGUUCAUCAAUCGGAUAUCAAGACAAAGAGGGCACUACGGUAAGACGUGAAAACACCCGAUCCCAUUCCGACUUCGAUAUGUGGAAUCGUCUUGCGCCAUAUGUACUGAGAUUGUUCGGGAGACAUGGUCCAAGCCCGGUGAAAAAAAAAGCAUAAGAAGAGUCCGAUAAUGGCCGGUCUUUAAAGGCCCUUAAGAAAGAGGCUUAAGUCAUCGAUGGAAAUCCGAUAACGCUUUUCUUUUUUCUCCACGAGCAAGGAGCGAGCUAAGUAAAUCUUACCUGAAAAUGAGUGAGAUUCGAUUAUUUUUCCUUCUUCUCUAUGAUCCCAAAACUUCACAUAAUACGUAUCAUUAAAUUCUCAUCUCAAUUUUUUUUCAAUUUCUAAACAACUAUCAUUUGUGAAUGUAGGUUGUGUCAGGGAUAUACUGUGGCUAGUAAGUCAUUUCGUUUGCAUUUUAUUUAAUGAGACUGAAAACACAGCAAUGAUUUGUUUUAUGGACAGUUAUAUUAUUUCCAGUCCAAAUGAGGUAGUGCCUAAUGCCACCAGGAGAGAGUUGGUAGGGGGGUCUGAGAUCUUGAGAAUGGAUCAAGGAAAUCUUGAUGCUCCGCCAGCCAUUCCUCAUGCUGAACAGGCUAUGGGGGAUCUGUAUCUAGCCUUGCGAAUGGGGCCGCCGAGCCCAACAAAAGAGGCUCUCGAAAGAGAGCUUUCGACCUUUCUUUCUUCCUUUGGAAAUAGGGAAGUUAGAAGGGAUGUCUUGGAAGGGACAAUAAGGAAACUCGACUUGAACAGCGCGUCCCCAGAAAAGGUUUUUUUUAGGAUCCUACAACUUAUGCAAGAACUUUCCAACAAACCGGUUGUUGCUUCCACAACUAAGAAGGCUUUAUUGAAAGCUUUAAAAGAGUAGGAGAAAGGGGACGCAUGAGCGUUGGAUAAUGGAAAGAAGGUAGAAUUGCUCGGGACCUAGUGAUCAAUUCUUUUUCUUUUAUAUAGGUAGUGUUGGGCAGCGACUCUACUCCGUGAAGUGAAGAAUCAAAAGUCGUCGUUCGUUAGAUAAGGCCCACGUGUUGUGCAUCUCUGGUGUUCUGCUCGUAGGGAGAGAAAUGCGGGAAAGUGGGGUCCUCUCACUUGUGCUCACUUCCGUUUUAGAAGUCAGAUUGGAUUUCCAAUUGGUGCUCAACAGAAGGGUGGAAAACCUCUGAAAGGCGAGGUAGAUUUAACGCUACGCCCUUCCCUUAGCGCAUCCCUCUAGGCGGGGCUCACAACCAAAGGAUGCAAGUUGCCACCAUGAACUAAGGAUUGGAAGGGUUGAGGAUAGAGUUUCUUUUUCAUUUCUAGGGUAGUUGGCAAGAGCUAUAGCAGCUUACGAUGCAGUUGAUUCGGAAACAUACGCCAGGGUGGUUGGGUGGGGAGUCAGAUCAGGCCAACGGUCCUACUCCACUUUAUAAUAAGAGAGUGUGGUUGGGUCUGACUCCGUUAUCGGGCUAGUACACCGAGCAGCUUUGAAUUCUGUUGUGCCAGUGAACAAAGCAAGCACACAACGACUGCAUAAAUCUUUGGUCUAUCUAUCAUUGCCCAUGUUGGGCUGACUCCUUUUUUUAGGCAAGAAGACCACUAGUUGAAUUAUUAAACUAUUAAGACUAACUGAAAAAAGGGUACUACUCUUCUUCCUCCACUACUGAUAUUGACUGACCUUUUGAUAGGAUAGCAGGGAAAGUUGAGAUUAUAUUCGGAGAAAGAAAAAAACCUUUUCAGGAUGAAACUAUGAACCCUAAUGGAGCAAAUGAGAAAGCAGUUGCAGGCCAGUGUAGGCUUGCUCCGCACAGGUUACAUCUGGGCCUUAUAUUGAUAUUCUUUUCAAUUCAUUUUUCAAUUUCUUCGGUCCGGGGUACCGCAUAAUCCGUUUAGAUCUAUUUCAGUUGCAAAUGAAAUGGAAUACGGGGAACUCUCCGUCUAAGUGGUUAAUCCGACGAGUCAAUUCUCAAUGCGAUGCAUCCGUGAAAUGGGACGGAGAUCUUCUCGAACUUAAUCCAGUCCUAUUAAAGAUGGGGUCGAAUCAAGCAACUCUUAUAGAUAGAUGGGAUACGAAGGAAGAACCACUGAUAGCAUUUGCAGCUGCUUCUUUUCGAUCGAUAUACAAGCAGUUGGGCGCGAAGCUUUCUUCGUGAAAAAGCUCGUCCUUGUCAAUAUAGGACUGUCUUUCAUUCUGCGUUUACUUAUUUUUUUUAAAUCUCUCAUUUUCUAAAUUUUUUCAUUGUCUUUAGUACGAUCUGGCUUCACACCUCGCGGUGCUUACACCUCUCGCCUAUCGGAACACCAACCCAAUCUUGAAAGCUGAAGUGGAUUUGGGGAAUGGAAGAACAAAAACAUCUUCUUUACCACCAAAAAUGGUAACAUAAGACCCUUUUUCACUCAUGCUUGUCAUCUGCUCGUGAAUAUCGUCCAGUCAAGUCUUUGUUCUUUUAUUCUUAACUAUGGUUGCUAACCAGAUUCCCCACGUUAUAUGCGAGGUCAAUAAAAUUCUCCAGAGAGUGAGUUUCUGAUCAUAAUGACCACCUAAAGUUGGAUUUCCAGUUGUAGUUUUUAGUUUUGGGUGCCAAUAGUAGCAUAGUUUCUUAGUCGUCCUUCCUCUUACGUAUUACAAUUUAGGUGCUUUUCAUGCUGCCUUUAGCGGAAAACGGACUUAAUGGACAAAUAAGGGAUAGGCAAGAAUUUGUUCUUGAACUCUAGAGAACAGGCGGAAAUAGGUUCAUCAGAGCGAUAGGGAAAGCUUAUAGAGGGGUGGUCUUACUACGACAAGUGAAGCCAGGGUUCCCUUUGUUCGGUGUCCGAGAAAGAGAAAGGAAUCUAUUCGGGAAGCGCUUACCAGCCCCUUUACCGAUACCAAGGGGAAGUAGGAAUUAGACCAAUAGGGCACUGCUCUCCGCCUGUCGUAACAACAACAAAAGUCCAUACCGGAAUUUCAUUACCUUAUUCCUUAAACUCUAAAACGGAGACAUUGGUACAAGAAGAGGCUCGAGAGACCUCGAGCGUAAUAUAUGCUACCAUCGGAGAGACUUUAGCCACAUCUUAACCCAUGGUUGAAUAAUGAGGUGAUCAAGAAAGUCGUGGGCCUCGUAGUACCCGCAUACGACAGCUCUAUGGAGCUUUUCGGGUCGAAAACCUGUUCGACGUCAGAACCGAUCUCAAAACCCUAAUAUCACCCUCUGAAGAGAAAGGACUUUCUCUAUAUCUAUAUCUAUGCAACUAGUUCUUUCACUUGCUUCCAAAUCCAUCCAUCUUACUUACUCAAAAGCUUUGAAUAUUCUACUCGAAAUAUUGCUUCUAGCUUUGGGCACCUCUGACAUAAACAGAAAUAGCGUAUAUACAAGGCUAGCCUUUUCUCUCAAGCGUCUUGGUAUUGGAUCCGCUCUUCUGUUAACAUUAACAUGAAUUAGAUUCUAUUCUAAUUCUUUAUUCUUAAGAGAAUCCCCCACCCGAACCAUUCUUAAGACCACCAAGCUCUCUCGAAUAAAUUCUACUCUUUCUGCUUUCGAGCUACACUGGGGGCAAAAUCUUUUCCCCACUAAGACAUGCAUCUUUAUGGCUAUAUCGUCCUGAAGAUGGAUGCGACGGGAAGAAGUGGCAUUUGGAAGUGUUGCUGACUUAACAUUUAGGUUUCGGCAUAACAAAGCUUGCACUGUCUUUUCGCACUUAGGCGCACAGUGUGCCAUUGGUAAUGAUUCUACUACGGUGCCACAAAUUCGCAAGUUGAUCCUAAGUAAUCGUUGUUGUUCAUUGGAUUCCGGAGGAACUACUUCGUUAGGAUUGGGGAAUUGCUGCGAUUCUUCCUGAAUAGCCUGGAUUCUCCCGCCGAGAGUCACUUUGAAAGUCUUACCUAAACUCUUCCUACUGAAUAUGAUAAAGCCUAUAAAACGUAGAGCUACUAUCAUUUCUUCAUUAUAAAUUGAGAUCUUCUUCGAACUUGAUGCACAAAUAGAUAGAAUAGCAAGCAAAUAGCAUCUUUCUAGCCUGCAUAUUCGUGGAACUCUAUCUCAUUUAGAAAGCCUGAUCUCUAUCUUUCAGCAACUGAACGGGAAGUGUUUUAAGAAUAAGAAAGGACAUUAGAAUCGGAUGCGCUCGCCCAGCGAGAAAGGCCCUGACCCUGCCAACCAAGUAUCAAAAAGAAAGAACAGAAAGAAAUGAGAAGAGAACUUCGUAUUUUGGUAACUCUCUAGGAGUCAACUUUAACCUUGAAUGCUAUUAAUAGAUUCUACAGCAAUAGUCCCUCGGACUCGGAAAGUAAUAACUAAAAUAUCUAACCCAAUAGCAGAUUCUGCAGCUGCCACCGUUGGAACCAAUGAAGCAAAUGGUUGAUGUUCGUUCUCUUCCUCUGUGCAUCUCUGUGAUGGGGCUCAUCAUAAGCUUUUUUUUCUCAAGCUCAUCAUAAGCUUUUUUUAUCCUCUUCUUUGUGUUCUAUUGAUCAGAAGCAUCCAGCAGCGCCUCGCCGGUUUCGAAUUCUAACACAAAAUGGCCAAAGAAUCAAUUAGUAAUAUGCCUUCUAUUGCCAAAAGACCUUAUCUUCUCCUCUUGGUAAAGAGAGCCUCCAUUUCGAGUUCGACAAAGUGAAAAAAUCGAUUCAAUCAUUCAAGUCGGAUAGCAUUUAUCUACACUAGGAUCUGACCUACAUGAACUUCUUUCUUCUCUUAUGAUAUUUCGAAUAGCGAGAAAGAUAAAUAAUGGGGAAUAGAAUACAAGUGUUGAGUACCAGCUUCUACUCUUGUGAAAGGUGGGCCUGGCCUCUUCCUUUCUAUUUAGAAAGUGAAAGUCCUUGCCGGUGUGACAGUAUGAGUAGACAGUGCUCUUCUCUUUCCGGGUUCAUAAUCGGUGCUAUUGAAUCUGCAGUUAAGGGAAUAUCGCCAGUUCUUUGAAAAAGAGUUCCACUCACUUCAUCCCUCUCCUUUCAGUCGAGUCACUUCGUCCCUCUCCUUUCAGUCGAGUCACUUCAUCCCUUUGAGGGAGGUUUAGCCUAGCCUUCAGGUCCCAUAAAAAAAAUGGAGCUUACCGGUUUAUAGAAUUGAGAAAUAGAUGUCCUACCAAGGCUGUAUGGAAUAGAAUAAAGGGUUAGGGUUCUUGCGGGAAGAAGGACAAACCGGGCCCCUAGUGGUCCUUAUCUUAUCACGCCACACAUGGAGCCAUCUUAAAUAGGUAAAUUGGUUUGGGAAGACGGGGGAAAAACAUCCAUCGUUUAGGUUUCUGAGUAGCUAAAGUUAAGAUAGAAUAGGUCAUCACAUCCUGGGGUUGAAGAAUGAGCAACUUUAAAAAGGAAACGGCAAGCAGUAAGGAGAGUAGUAACGUCGUAUUAUCUAUCCGAAGCAGUAGCAGGCCAGACACUGGUCUUUCUAUCUUCUGGCUAUUCCCAGAAGGAAUUUUCGAGCUUUUGAAAUAAUAGCUGUGGCACUCUCUUUCUUCCAUAGAGAAGGAACUUAUCCUUAGACUUUUGGAGCUUUGGCUUUGGUUUGGACCUGUACUAGUCCGAGAAGUGAGAGCACCAGAUUGGAAGAUGCUGGUUCGAUAGGACCUAAAAAAAUGCUAAUAAGGAGGAGGCUAGUUUGCUAGGUUGUAGAUCUUCUCCCUUAUUCUUUAUAGAGGAAUCCCCUAAAUUAAAAUAAGAUCUUUCUCCGCUCCGUCAAAAGCCUGAUUGAGACAAAUCAGCUCUUACUGUUCUCCGGUCUUUGCUCUUGAAGAUCCGCUCUUGAGAACCUCUAUCUAUUUCUUCAAAGCCUCAUUCGAAGCCUGUCAGUCUUACAUACAGUAUAUUACCCGCAAGUUCAUCUUCUUUGAUAGGAUAUUAGAUUAGUCAGCAAUCCAAGUUCCAGCCGGUUCUCAAACUUCAGAGGUGGCCUUACUUCCUUUUUAAAGCAAACAUGUGGGCAUAAAAAAGAAUGAAAUUGAUAGAAUAGAGGAAGAUUAAUGUGCAGCUAAUUCUAUACCAGCCAAUUCAAUUGUUCAGCUACUACGAAAAAACUUACUAUUAUGGCUAUGUAAGGGGACCGACUUUCCCUUUUUCAAUCACCUCCUACCUUAAGGUAGGCCCACUGCUGAAUACCCUCAAUCGAAAGGUCAAGUAGAUUAUAUAACCCCAUUGUAUGAAGAGUUGCUCCAGGGAUCGCACCCCUUGGCCUAGGGUAUACACUCAGAUCUGGAGGCAUACCUAAUUAACGAUAAGAGCAUAGAUCUCCUCUCUCCUUCGGACCCUCUACCUCUACUUCAUUCCACUCAUAAACAGCCUUCCAACAAGGAAAAAGAGAUAAAGAAGAAAAUUCUUAAAUUCCCACAAAUGGUUUGAAUAAGCAUUCCUUAGAGAGGGAAUAUCGGAUGAGACACUAUUUGGCCUUCUCUCAGGAGUUGUAGAUAGUAUCACCUUUAGCUGGUAGCUAGCAAAGAAGUUAUCCCCUAUCAACGUAUAUAGUUGAGGGCAAACCGAGGUUUUACCCGCAGCUUCUGUCCAUGAAUCUUCUUUCGCUUGGUUACAGGACUAGAGCGAAUCGUCUCUUGUGCUACGGUCUAAUAUAUGUGUCAAAGAGCGGAUUCUGUUGCAGCGGAUACGGGGCAUGCCCCUGAGCCUAUUGAUUCAAUUCCUAGCAAGUCCUGUCUCUCUCCUUCACUUAAAACACAGCCUGUGAUGAUUCUUAAUUACUUUUUUUGAAACUUCAGUAGGCUCUCCCUUCUUUGGUGAUAAGGCUCAUCAGUAGAUUGACUACGAGGCCGAAGAGUCUUACUACAGGGGUUACCACUCCUGCAAGACUGAUUUGGGUUCCAGAGUUGUUAUAAGGGCGGGACGGCGAGAGGAGGAAGCUACUACUACCGGGCGAGAUGUUAGUGGAAAAGAAUAGGGUUCAAAGGAGAGGUCACAAGCUACCACUACUACUUAAUCUAUUUCUACUGCUACUUGAAAUCGAUUCUCUUUCAUGACUCUCUUUCUUAUUAUCUUUCCACCACUAGUUAGAAAUAGGCAAGAGCAUUCCCUGGAAUAGGCCUACGAGAGGUAUUCAACAAGCGCCACUCAACUGCGCAAACUAAGCCCUCCAUAGAAGUUCAAGGAAGUAAAGCUACAUACUACUGGAAAGAGAUGGGCUUUCUCCUUUAUAUUUCUUGCGGGCUAUUNNNNNNNNNNNNNNNNNNNNNNNNNNNNNNNNNNNNNNNNNUUUGCUUUCUUACUUUCACACUUCCUUCAGUGAGCUACUUAAGGUUUAAGGUAAGGGGCACUCCUAGCAUAGAUUACCAUUCUAACCUAUCUUUGAUGGUAGAUAGAUGCGCUUAAUUAGUUACCUGAAUUAAAGAGGACUCUUGAAUAAGUUGACUUCGCCUGGGCAUCAUCUUUCCUUUCAUUCACUAGUUGAGUACUUCCUCCUAUCAGAUAGAAGCUUUUCAAAGGAGUUUUCACUUCCUCAAUUAAGGUCAUUCUAGUUUGACAUGCUACCUUCUCGAUGUAUCGAUUCUUGGUAGACAAGGCUGGUUUAGAUCGAGACGCCCACCUUUCGGUCCGGGGCUGAAGUUUUCUCUUUCUGUCGGAAAAUGAGCUUCUGGCAAAACAUCGGGAGGGAGUGAUACUGCUUCCUUAAUUCAUCAAUUCCCAUCUAUAAAAGGGAUCCAAUUCGGUAUCUUGCAUACGAAUUCAUGUUGUCAACGAGGAUCUUAGCCCAUUUCCUUGUUGUUUUCCCGUAAAAUGAAAAAAAAAGAAAUGCCUUUAAGUGAAAGCAGAAUGUAGGAAUGAAGCUUCCCGGAGUCCAUCGAUUCAUUCCCAAUCCCAUCCCGUUCUCUCACCAACUUGAAUAGCUUGUUUUCCUUCUCAACUCAAGGUGAUCUAAAUAUCAUGUCUACGACCCUCACCUCCCCGGAAAGCGCCUUCGUUCCGCAUUAAUUGUACAAUAAAAUAUAUCUCGAUUGGACUAAGGAAGAACAAAAAAUCUUCGCAAGAUGAUUAUUUAGUUUCUCCUGUUACCUUUUUUCAAAGCUAGCACCUCUGCUCUUUCUAUGAGUUAGCUACUCCGUUGUACGCUAUCUUUCUCUUCACACCUGGCCACCCAGGUUCCUUUCUACUUUUUUUCUUGCUACGACAUUAGCCUAUUUGGCGUGGUUUGUUACCUAAAAACACCAUCCUUUCUUAUUGGCGUUAGGGAAAAGUCGAAUUUCUUUUUUAAUCCCUGGGGAGUUUCACGCUCAAGACCAAUCAUCUAUGUAAAAUAGAUGAGAGGGAGAAAGAAGGCUCGAGAGACCUGUCUGGAAUCAAUCAACAAAAGCUUCACUUCACCUGCACAAGCAAACGGUACUAUGCUAAUGGAAGCCCUACCUACCGAGGAACCACAUGAAAUGAAGAAUAAAACUUCAAACUCGCUAGAAUGCAAUGUAUGGGUUACGACGGAUGGGACCUUAAUAAGGAAAUUUCUAAGAUAAGACGGACGACUCGGCUGCCUUCCCCGCUAAAAAUCAUUCUCGACGGUUGCUCAAGCGCUUUCACGCAACAAGAAAGCAAAGCGUAUCCAAUCUCGCACCAUCCGAAUAGGUUUCAAAGCAAGCAGUACGGCGCAACAGAAGAGCCCAUUUAGUAUCGUCUUUGUUUGUGAAUAUUAAUGCGUCCUGUCUUCAUGUUAUAUUAUUCCCAUUAACUGUGACCAAACUGCGUUCCGAGUGUCUUUGUAGAGAAGAGAUAAAUCUUCCCCUAAGAUAGUCAAGGAUAAACCGCUCUACAGAACAGGGAACAGGAAGGAAAGUCAAAACCCCCGAUAAGAAAAAGCAAUCAGCCGCUGUCACCGACCAUGAGUCUGAUCGGAUGGUGGAGUACUAUUCUACCACAACGAGACAGGCAUCAUCGAAUCAAAGGCCGAAUAGAAAGCAUUCCCCCCAGUUAAGAGUGCUUCUACCCCGCCAACAGCUCUCUGGUCUCCCCAGGUGCUCAUGUUACUUAACAAAAAAGCAUGAAAAUGAUGACGUAGGGUGGAAACCCUUUGUGACUGCAAUCGUACGUUUUCGUCUUAAGAGAAACAACCUCUGAAUCCAGUUUUGUCAUUAGGAUAGGAGGGAAAUCGGCAGCUCGAUGGGGAGCUUGCCCGCCCGCUGGGUUUUGAGACCCUUUCUGAUUCCCUCACCCAAUCUCACGAGAAGCAAGCCCAGUAGGCCCUGCCUUAACCUGUCCUCAGACAGCCAGCCCUCAGCAGGCUGCUGGCAUUGCUAAAUGCUCCGCCACGAAGCAAGCUUUAUCGAAUACGACAGAUGCGGAAGUGGCUAAAGAAGUCGGAGGAAGAAAGUUGUUGGACAACUGUAUACACGAGGGUACAUUAUUAUUCUGAGAAUUGGAAACAUUGAAAGAAAGGGUAAGGGGUACGAAUCAACUUUUUAGGUGUUGCUCUACUAAAGUAGUCGGCCUAACCUUCGGUUCCCGUAACCAAGUUUUUCUUUCUCACUCCUUAUGUACUUUUUUUGACUUCAUCCAUACUUUUUUACUUUUUCUGAAGUGUGGGGCAAACGGCGCCCUCUACUUCUACUUCUAACUAAAGGCGAACAGCCGACAUUGCAAGCAAAUAGAAAGCCCCCGCCCCUUUGAGCCGGAAAGCGUACCGGCUGUUUGAGUCGCGAAAGGGCCGCUUGCUUAAUAUUAUUUAGAUAUAUAAUAAUAAUAGAUAUAUAAUAUUAUAUUAUAUAUCUAUCUAUAAACAAAAAUAAAAAACAAAAAUAAAGAAAAGUAUUUUUUUAGAAAAUUCUUCAUUCCCGGGAAGAGGAAGAAGCAGAUAGGACAAAGGCCUUCUCUUUCCGUCUGCUCUUCCCGAAGUGAGCGAAUUGCAUGUAGAGAUCCGUAGGGGCUUAUAGUUUAAUUGGUUGAAACGUACCACUCAUAACGAUGAUAUUGUAGGUUUGAGCCCUACUAAGCCUACCACCCACUUCUCUUCACCUGAUACAAGGCAGUCGAAGUACCAGCCACCCUGUAGAUUUCAAUCUAGCGAUGACAUCUGGAACCACACUGUUGUCGCUGUCCUUCGGGCACGCCUACUAUGCUUAUCACUCACCUACGCUCUUGCAGCAUGCCCCCUUCGGGCAAUACGGUGUAAUACGCGAAGCAGCUGAGCCAUAGCUCUUCGAUCGCUAUAUUCUUGCGAUAACGAAGGCGUGGUUCAUCCUCUAAGAGAGAGUAGAUGCGAUGUUUCGGAUCGAAGAUCUUUGCGAAACAGCCCCGGGGUACCAUAGCAUGUCGGGAAUAAGGGGGACAUAGUGAACGUAACCACUCCCUUGGUUGGGGGCUGUGACUCCCCUAUCCUUUCAAUUUUUUGAUUCCCAGGUCUUCAGAGACAAUUCUAUAUGAAGAAGAUCGGUCCACUUACAAAAAUACCUGAACGAGAAGGGAUUAGUGCUGUCAACUAUGCUCGUUAUCAGAAUGGUUAUACCAUGGAAAGAUUGGGGACCGUCUUUCAAAAAUGAACCCGGACGCAUUUCUUGUGUGGCCGAACCCAUAGAUCUUGAUGUAUGCCUAUCUUUUACUUGGACUACAAAAAUGCAUUCUUCGAGAUCCCCACGGAGCGGCAUUCAAAUUAAGACUACAAUCAUAUAGAUUCGAUACAUGCUUCAAUAUUGGACCAGUCCUUGAAUAGUUCAAAAUGAUGUGGUGGCCAAGAUAUGGACCGCUUAAAGAAAGGAUGCCUCUCAUCAAUUUAGUCCAUUAUUGUAUUCUUUACCAUUGCGGACUACUAAAUUAAGUUCUAGCAGUUGCCAUCUCACGAAAUUGGCCCAUUCGCCAACUUGACGUGAAAAAUGCCUUCCUCCAUGGUCUUUGACUUUAAGAGGUAUACAUGCAACAACAUCCUGGAUUUGUUGAUCCUUCUAAGCCUACUCAUCUUUGUUGCUUUUAUAAGUCCAUUGUUGGUCUUCGUCAAGCACAAUUGGCAUGCUUUCAACGGUUCAGUACCUAUAUUCUCCAAAGUGGCUUUCGUCAGAGUGUUGCGGAUACCUCCAUCUAUCUUUCUUCACCAUUCCUCUACUGGCUGUAUCGUCCUUUUGCUUUAUGUUGACGACAUCAUCUUAACUGGUGACAACAGAUCUCUUCUCACUCAAUUUAUUCACCGCCUCAGUAAAUAUUUUUCCAUGAAGGACUUGGGUUAUCUCAAUGACUUCCUUGUCAUUGAAGCAUAGCGUGACUCCUCUGGCUUUCUUCUGUCACAAACCAAAUAUGCUUUAGAUUGAUUCCACCGGACCAACAUGCUUGGUUGAAAACCUUGUGCUACACAAAUUGCUUCCAGUUCUAAACUUUCAGCUUUGGAUGGUACACCUCCCUCUGAUCCUCAGGCCUAUCGGAGUACUUUUGGUGCUCUCCAAUAUAUCACUCUCACUCGACCGGACCUCAGCUAUGUUGUUAAUCUUGCCUGCCAGUUUAUGGCCAAUCCCAUCACUAUUCAUGAUCUGUGUCUUAAACGCAUUUUAAGGUAUUUUAAAGGCACUCUCCAUUAUAUUAUGGUCUUAGAUUUCCUCAUCGCCCUAUCUCAACACUUUUUUUUAUUACUCUUAUGCGGGGCUGGUUGUCCAACAAUUCGUCGCUCAACCACUGGAUUCUGCAUUUACUUUGGUGACAAUCUAAUUUCUUGGGGCUCUAAAAAGAAACCAACAGUUGCCCGUGCUAGUGCAGAAGCUGAAUACAAAGCGUUAGCUAUCACUGCUUCUGAAAUUUGAUGGCUCUCCUACUGGCUAAAAGAUUUACAUGUGUCAAUUCCUCACCCAUUCCUUCUCUUUUGUGAAAGCUCUUCAUACUCUGCUUCCACCUUAUUCCUUUCAAGGUUGCACCUUGUCGUAAGUUCUCGCCGUCUCCACUGCAUGCUUUUUCAGUAUCUCCUCAGGAAGCAGCAAGAGGAUGCGGCAAACUAGAAGAUUAAGUUGGCACCGCAACUAGCGUAGCUUUUACUUUCUUUCAAAUCAGAAUGUUCUCCUACUUGAAGAAUGUGUUCCUACCACAAUAGUAGUUGAAGAAAGGGCUAAAGGUGGGAUCGGGGAAGGAAGAAAAUGAAUUUAGAAAUCCCGAAAAGGAGAAAUAAUCCCUUUUCUGUCUUUUUGUAUGCGUAGUGGAAUAAGCCUUGGCAUCAUCAUCAGCAUAACUAUCUCCAUCCGAAACAUUAGAAUCCUCGUCAACAGACGAAUCCGUAGAAAGAGCUGCCACUUAAUAAUUUGCCGAACCAACAAACUUUUACAAAAAAGUGCAAACUAGGUUGAUCGUAGAUCAGGGGAAGGUUUAGAAUCCUAUCGGAAAUGAUAGGUAAGCAAAAGUGACUAAAGGCUACCAAGACUUUAGAGGCCACUCAUAAUUACUGAAACACCACCCAGAAAGAAAUGCGUCGUCAAUGAAGUCGGUCAGUCAAGCCUGAUCUUCGACCACACCCUUAACACUAAUCUAGAAGCAUUGAUACACGAUACCCGGAAUUAUGAGCUUGGGCAACAGGAUCCAGACACCUUCCGAGAAGCUAGAAAAGCAUCUGAUGGUAAAGUGGAAGCUAAAAGAAUAUAGGGCUACCACCCUCUAAAUAAAGAUCUAGAUACAGAGUCGAAGAAAAGGUAGGGUGCUUCAUUUUGGAAAUAAACAACUCGGAAACCUUGAUUUGUGACGUCGCAUAGCUCUUUAGGAAGGCAGUAAGAACAAGAUUACAUAGAGAAGCGCCAUAAAAAACAGAAGCUAGCCAGUUCCAGCAGAGUCAAAGUCAAAUAAGAAGGUCCUUGAGCCCGGUACUCCUUCUUCAAGCUAUCAUGCCCAUCCAAGCCUAUUGCUUCUGUAACAACAAAAAGAAAAGACUGACCGCUACUACUACUUUAACUACUACAGCUAGGGGAUCUUCCACUUGGAUUCUUUCCUUCGCUUUGGGGAAGGUUGAAAGUGAAGCCGAACGAAGGAGAGUUAAGUUAAUUACUCAUUCCCCGUCUACAGAGCAUGCCACUAUUCUUGAUACAUGCAAUUGCUUUCCUUGGAACUGUAGUUAGUGACUGGUCUCCGCUCGCCCUCGAUCAAACUAUCAAUUGAAUAAGAGAAGAAAGCUCAAGAUUCACCGAUUUGAGCUCCCCCAUUUUUCCUCAAUUCGUAGAUAGAGAAUUGGAUUCUUAUCCAUGGCAAGUGGCAUCGUAUAAUAAUAUAACGGCUGCUUUGAGGAGCUUUCUUUCUAACCUCUUUCAUGAAAUUACAUGUCCCGAAGUUGACUGUCGAAAUCCAUUGUGACUCUGGAGGUGAUAAGGGGAGCUACGCUUUGUCAUUUCCGGUAUGUUAAGUCUACUAGCUUGCUGGCAGGCGUCAGCGGUAGGUAACUUUCUGUAUGUGUUCCAAAGCAUCAUAGGCUUUCAAAAAAAUCUUGUGGAAUCCGUGAAACUUAAGUAUGGAGGUGGAAAGCCCUUGUAUAGGUUGGGCGCUAGCUAGCGCCUUCCUUAUACUAAUAUAAAAUGUUGGGCCUUCCCCUUAUUUAUUAGUAUUAGGCAAGUUGCUCGAGGACUUCUACUGGGAAUGAAAGUUCCCUAUUAUAGGAUCCCUAGUAAAGCCAAUUUAAUGAUGGCUGCUUAUCUGAGUAAGAAGACGAUGGAUCCUAUUAUUGGUGAGCGAUCUCCUCUACACGUUAUCUUUGGGCAUUUUACUCUCUUUCAAAGAGAUGACUAUUAAAACCUCAGAGUAUUCGGAUGCACGUGCUUUGUUAAAAUACCAUCUCCUGCACAAGACAAACUGAGCCCUACAUCUCACUCUAUGUGUUUUCUUGAGUGAGGUUGGGGUACCCCUCUCUCAAAAGUGCUACAAGUGUUAAUGAUCCUUCUACACGACGUUUCCACCUUUCUCGACAUGUCACCUUUUUCAAACAUGUGCCUUACUACGGAGCUCGGGGCUUUUAGAUUCCCUGUGAUGGUGGGAAUUAUGUUCCAUUGUCUCCCCUUAGAGGGGAGAGGUGGAACUAUUGAGUAGUUUAUAUGAGACAGCAUCAGAAUUCUCCGAUUUAAUAGAGUCAGCAAGAUCCGGGUGACCAGAGUGAUCAGCAGCUUGAUCAGCUUAAGGGGAAGUUUCGCAAGUUUGUGAAGAUAGAUUCUCGUCACCUAGUUUUCAGAGCUGAGCCAACUGAUUCAGUGGUCUCCCUCUCUCCCUAUACUUCGAACCAAGACUCUUCUUCAGACUUAGGUUCUUUAGCUUCUAUUCUCGGGCUACGUAGAUCCACCCGUCUUCGUUUUCCUAUUCAUAGGUUUGUAUCAACUAAGUCUCUGUCUACUUCCCACGAGUCGUUUUUGCAAUUUCAUCCAUCUUUUUUAACCUGAUACCUUUGCAGAGGCCAUAUCUCAACCCUGCUGGCAGCUCUAUGCAGAAAGAGAUCGUAGCACUAGAAUGGUUUGCUACUUGGGAUUGAGUCUCUCUUCCUCUAGGAAAAUCAAUAGUGGGCUACAAAUGGGAUCUAUAAAGUCAACAAAAAGCUGAUGGAGCUGUUGAGGGGUUGAAGGUUAGAUUGGUGGCCAAAGGAUACACACAAGAGUAUUGAGUUGAACCCCUUUAGAGAUA